rnacentral:rRNA from 1 species
UACGUAGGGGGCGAGCGUUGUCCGGAUUUAUUGGGCGUAAAGAGCUCGUAGGCGGCCAGCACAAGUCAGUUGUGAAGUCUCCGAGCUUAACUCGGAAAGGUCAACUGAUACUGUGCGGCUAGAGUGCGGAAGGGGCAACUGGAAUUCUUGGUGUAGCGGUGAAAUGCGUAGAUAUCUGGAGGAACACCGGUGGCGAAGGCGGCAUCCUGGACCGGCAUUGACGCUGAGGCGCGAAAGCCAGGGGAGCAAACGGG